CAAGCUUUGUCGUUUUCUCUCGGUGAAAAGCAGGCUAAUCUCACGGCAGAAACGAAACGAAAAAACCUCAUAAAGACGCCGAAAGUUACUCUAAACGCUUGUUUCUUGGGAAAUUGUCGUCUUUGGUCGCGGGGGUGCUGGAGCCUAUCCCAGCUGUCUUCAGGCAAGAGGCGGGGUCCACCCCGGACUGUGACAGGCCCCGUCGAAGGCUGCUGGUCAUGUCCAAAGCCACGCUGAGAAUACCGAGAGGACGACACCUCAGCCCGGACUGGGGGGGGGGGGCUCAUUAGUUAUGCAGCCUCAUUGUUGCCGGUGAAGGGACAAUGAUGCAGUGGCUUUCACCGGCCGACGGCAGCUUCCUGUCUUCUGGACCAAUGGCGGCGCGGGAGGUGUGGUGGCUCACUUGAUUCAUAUUCAUUUAAAAGCCGUGCCUCCGAGACCAGCUGUGGCCUGAGCUGGACACGCUGGUUCCUGGUCAGCUGACUGAAAGACCUUUGACCCCACUCGGCUUUUAUUAAGAUGAGCACAAAAAAAAAGCAAACACGUCAUCAUUUAAGUCAUUUCUACAGCUUCGAACUCAACACUUGCUUAAAAUGGAGACGACCGUGUGUUUGCUGUUGCUAUGUUUCGCCCUUUUUCAUAUUUUUAAUACGCCAGUACACCCAGCCUAGGGGUGUUCAAAGUGCAGCCCGGGGACCAUUUGCUGUCCGUAGCUGUUUUUUUAUUGGCUCGCAGCACUGAAAAAACAGUAUUUGGUGUGACCACCAUUUGUCUCAAAUAUCGUUGAUCGCAUUUAGGUAAUUGGUUCCAGAACUGUGAUAAGUUCAUUUCAGCAAAGUAGAAAUAUAAUAUUUUCGUAGUUUUUAAAGGGGACCUAUUAUGCUUUUACUGACUGAUAAAUGUAGUUGGAAUGUUGUAUUCUCGUGUUAAACGAUGCCAAAGUUUCACAUAAUGAGUUUUGUGCAGCUUCUACCUGGGCAUGCCCUUAUAACAAUAUUUUAUAUGUAUUUUAAGGAAGUUUAAAUGGAUAUCAAUUUCGGAAUAUAGAAAAAAAUAUAUUGUUAGAAAUCUCCUAAUUUUGCAUGUUUAUGUUGUUGUCCCUGGCUGCACGGCGGUCAAGUGGUUAGCACACAGGCCUCACAGCUAGGAGACCCGAGUUCAAUUCCACCCUCGGACAUCUCUAUGUGGAGUUUGCAUGUUCUCGCCGUGCAUGCGUGGGUUUUCGCAUCCGGGUACUCCAGUUUCCUCCCACAUUCCAAAAACAUGUCUAUUAUAGAAAACAACAUGUCUAUGUCUAUUAGUUUAUUUAGCCAUGUUUAUGCUUGCAAAAAAACACUAAACUCAUCACACAGUAACUUAACACUCCAAAGGUGUACCUAAAAAUAUACAAUGAAGUACCAAUAUGAGUUUUGAAGUUUCCCAUUCUGCAUUGUGUCUGAGCAAAGCGGUUCAUUGGAGGACAUGCGGCAUAGAAAGUGGUUAGUGCGCAAGUUCAAUUCCACCCUCGGCCAUCUCCAUGUGGAGUUUACAUGUUCUCCCCGUGCAUGCGUGGGUUUUCUCCGAGGACUCCGGUUUCCUCCCACAUUCCAAAAACAUGCUAGGUUAAUUAGCCACUCCAAAUUGUCCAUAGGUAUGAAUGUGAGUGUGAAUGGUUGUUUGUCUAUAUGUGCCCUGUGAUUGGCUGGCCACCAGUCCAGGGGUGUCCACACCUGGGAGGCUGAAUAGGCUAAAUUAACAUAGGAAAGCAGAGACCCUAACAAGGAAGUUACAGGUAAGAAAGUUCACCAAGCUCCCACUCUAAUUCCAUAUCACCGAAUCUGUUAAAUCCAUAAUAAUCCAUAACCUACCGGUUUUUCACUCAUACUGGAGUGAUUCUUUAUGGUUGCAUCAUUCCCAAAGAUUAGAUCACCCUCAAUUGGAGCCAUGGGUGUUAGCCAACUAACUGACUUUACUUAUACGUGUAUACAAGUAAUAUACAGUACAAUACUAAAGCUAAUGCUAAUAUAAUAUACCAGUUUCAUUUCACUGUGACUCCCUUUUAUUCAAAAUGGAUUUCUAAAAUCUAAAUCUUCAAUUUAUUUUAUUGUUUACUAAUUAUUCAGCGAAUUAUACAGGUUUUAAUGGCAUUAU